AUAUCAAUAAGCGGAGGAAAAGAAACUAACAAGGAUUCCCCUAGUAACGGCGAGUGAAGCGGGAUGAGCUCAAAUUUAAAAUCUGGCUGGUUUACUAGUCCGAAUUGUAGUUUAAAGAAGCGUUUUCGGUGGCAGCCUGGGUAUAAAUCCUUUGGAAUAGGGUAUCAUAGAGGGUGAGAAUCCCGUCUUUGACUCAGUGAAUGCUACUAUGUGAUACGUUUUCAAAGAGUCGAGUUGUUUGGGAAUGCAGCUCAAAAUGGGUGGUAAAUUUCAUCUAAAGCUAAAUAUUGGCGAGAGACCGAUAGCGAACAAGUACCGUGAGGGAAAGAUGAAAAGAACUUUGGAAAGAGAGUUAAACAGUACGUGAAAUUGCUGAAAGGGAAACGCUUGAAGUCAGUCACGUUGUCCAGGGAUCAACCUUGCUUUUGCAUUGGUGUACUUUCUGGUUGACGGGUCAGCAUCAAUUUUGACUAUUGGAAAAAGAUUGAGGGAAUGUGGCAUCUUCGGAUGUGUUAUAGCCCUUGGUUGCAUACAAUGGUUGAGAUUGAGGAACUCAGCACGCCGCAAGGCCGGGUUUUAACCACGUACGUGCUUAGGAUGCUGGCAUAAUGGCUUUAAUCGA
rnacentral:rRNA from 1 species